rnacentral:rRNA from 1 species
GAUGAACGCUGGCGGCGUGCCUAAUACAUGCAAGUCGAGCGAACGGACGAGAAGCUUGCUUCUCUGAUGUUAGCGGCGGACGGGUGAGUAACACGUGGAUAACCUACCUAUAAGACUGGGAUAACUUCGGGAAACCGGAGCUAAUACCGGAUAAUAUUUUGAACCGCAUGGUUCAAAAGUGAAAGACGGUCUUGCUGUCACUUAUAGAUGGAUCCGCGCCGCAUUAGCUAGUUGGUAAGGUAACGGCUUACCAAGGCAACGAUGCGUAGCCGACCUGAGAGGGUGAUCGGCCACACUGGAACUGAGACACGGUCCAGACUCCUACGGGAGGCAGCAGUAGGGAAUCUUCCGCAAAGGGCGAAAGCCUGACGGAGCAACGCCGCGUGAGUGAUGAAGGUCUUCGGAUCGUAAAACUCUGUUAUUAGGGAAGAACAUAUGUGUAAGUAACUGUGCACAUCUUGACGGUACCUAAUCAGAAAGCCACGGCUAACUACGUG